rnacentral:rRNA from 1 species
AACGAACGCUGGCGGCAUGCCUAACACAUGCAAGUCGAACGAAACCUUCGGGUCUAGUGGCGCACGGGUGCGUAACGCGUGGGAACCUGCCCUUAGGUUCGGCAUAACUCCCCGAAAGGGGUGCUAAUACCGGAUAAUGUCUUCGGACCAAAGAUUUAUCGCCUUUGGAGGGGCCCGCGUUGGAUUAGCUAGUUGGUAGGGUAAAAGCCUACCAAGGCGACGAUCCAUAGCUGGUCUGAGAGGAUGAUCAGCCACACUGGGACUGAGACACGGCCCAGACUCUUACGGGAGGCAGCAGUGGGGAAUAUUGGACAAUGGGCGGAAGCCUGAUCCAGCAAUGCCGGGUGAGUGAUGAAGGCCUUAGGGUUGUAAAGCUCUUUUAACCGGGAUGAUAAUGACAGUACCGGGAGAAUAAGCUCCGGCUAACUCCGUG